UAUCUUAUAUUUUUUCAAAGAAUUUUUAUAACAAAAAAAUCUAUCAAAAUCGACUUGUUGAAAUCCGUUAAAAUCGAUAAAACCUUCGUUUUACGAGGAAAGUGGUUGAAAUCUUUGCUAUUCUGAAAAAAAUAGUUUGUAGCGAAGUUUGUCAAAGUUUGUUAAAGGAUAUUACUUUGGAGGUAAAUAUGGAAUUUAACAAACAUAAUUUGUAUUUAGAGAUUAUUGGUUGUAAAAUGUUUGUAAAUUGAGGAAAAAAUACAAAAAAAUACAAGCUUAAACAAACAUUUUACAAAUUUUUGCAAGCAAAUUUUAAUAAAUUUGGAAGAACAACCUUUUUACAAACUUUACAAAAAUGUUUGUAUGCUGGUUUGUUUAUAAAAUCAAACAUUUUUGAUAAUGUUUGUUCAAAAGUUUGUUAUUUUGGUGCAUUUACAAGCUUUAUCAAACUUUUUUGAAAAAGUUUGUUAUUUUGUUAAAGUUUAAUUAGAGUGACGCCGUUUAAGGAAGGUGUAAAAAAAAACGAUAAAAUGGAUAUUUUGUGAAAAUCAUUAAUGAUUACGUAAAGAUUUCCCAACUGUAUACCUUGUGCGUACAGUUUGAAGUUCCUGGGGCAUCUAUGUCAUUAAAUGAUAACGUGAUAACGAGAUGAUUGAGGAGUUCCUUGGACAGCGACUUAA